AGGCUUCAAAGCAGGUGGAUGGAAAGCGUUACGGAGUAAGUAGGCAAAGCCCUUCCUUUAUGUGCAGCCACUUCUGUCUGCUUUCCACUAGAGGUAGCUGGAACCACACACAACAGUGCCACAUCCCAGCCCCAAAGCAGCGUCGGUACCAGCGCUCAGCCUGCCAUGGAAGGGUGUAUCCAAAGCAGAAGGAAGCUCCAUGCAGCCCCCUCCUUGUGGUCCAUCCUCCUGCGAGCUGAUUGUCUUCUGGCCACCAACUAUCAGUCCUGUAAGGUCUGGCCAAUGCCAGCAGCCACCUCGGUGAGUUGGGCAGGAGGGGGGCAAGGGGUUAAGCAAAAUGAGCUUUCUUAUGGCACCUACUCAUGGCCACCUGCUUGUGACACCUUCCUAAGCUCCAUUCCUCUGCAGGGCUCAGCCUUGAGCCAACACUCAGAUGCUCUCCAAAAGGAGCUGUGGAUUUCCCCAGCUGCUCUCCACGGAGUGGGCAGCGUUGGAGGGCAGUGGAGCUCUCUCCCUUCCCAAUGGGAUGCCAGGGAGAUUUGACAGAUGAAGACUGUUAAUAUUGAAGAUAUCAUUACGCUGGCCACAGCCGCAAUUCCUUCUGCAGCAAUGGGGCAUCAAUAUUAAGGUGAGUUACUAAAUGUAUCCUAAAGGUGAGCUGAAAGGCGUUUUGGAGGCUCCCAUCCCAGGUUCGGAAUGGUUUUGAGAGGUGGCUGCAGGCAGUGGGGCUGGAAAGCUGGUUUGGGUAAGUGGGGUGAAGCUGGGGAUCUGGGCGCUCCCAGUGGGAACGUUGAGUUUUCUUUUUUGGGUGGAGGAAAGGAAAUAAUUUCUCUCUAUCAAAAAUGAAUGAAAACUUGAGAAAUCUCAAGCAGGUUUAUUUAUUACCUCAUCUAUUAAAAUAGCCACGUAUCUAUUCAAGUGUGGGGGCUGCCAUUUAUUUUGCCUUUUCCGUGAGUCACAGAGCAUCUUAAUUUAUUUCUUUUUUUUUUUUUCCCCCCAUGGAAAUAAUAUUACUGAGUUUCUCCCAAGGGGAAGCCAUGCUGGAGGGCACAGCCUUCCAUGGGGCAGUCAGUUAGGGCUGGUCCAAGGACACCAGCAGACCCUGCAUUGAACCUCUCUACUAGAACCAUGUUCUCAUAUAUUGCCCCAUGGACACCAUUCUCCACCUUUCCCCUGCUUGGCUGCACAGAUUUGGGUGUUUGUGCCUGAAUUUCUCUAUUUUUUUU
rnacentral:lncRNA from 1 species